UACGUAGGUGGCAAGCGUUGUCCGGAUUUACUGGGCGUAAAGAGCGCGCAGGCGGUCGUUCAAGUCGCGUGUGAAAGCCCCCGGCUCAACUGGGGAGGGUCACGCGAUACUGAUCGACUCGAAGGCAGGAGAGGGUAGUGGAAUUCCCGGUAUAGUGGUGAAAUGCGUAGAUAUCGGGAGGAACACCAGUGGCGAAGGCGACUACCUGGCCUGUUCUUGACGCUGAGGCGCGAAAGCUAGGGGAGCAAACGGG
rnacentral:rRNA from 1 species